rnacentral:rRNA from 1 species
UACGUAGGUAGCGAGCGUUGUCCGGAUUUACUGGGUGUAAAGGGCGUGUAGGCGGCGUGGUAAGUCAGAUGUGAAAUGUAGGGGCUCAACCCCUGAAUUGCAUUUGAAACUAUCGCGCUUGAGUGAUGGAGAGGCAGGCGGAAUUCCGUGUGUAGCGGUGAAAUGCGUAGAUAUACGGAGGAACACCAGUGGCGAAGGCGGCCUGCUGGACAUUAACUGACGCUGAGGCGCGAAAGCGUGGGGAGCAAACAGG